AUUUUCUUCCAUAUAUUGUUUUGUCAUUGGGCGAGAGUAGUACUAGGAUGGGUGACCUCCUGGGAAGUCCUCGUGAAAGGGUUU
rnacentral:rRNA from 1 species